AGCCAUGCCGCGUGUGUGAAGAAGGUCUUCGGAUUGUAAAGCACUUUAAGUUGGGAGGAAGGGCAUUAACCUAAUACGUUAGUGUUUUGACGUUACCGACAGAAUAAGCACCGGCUAACUCUGUGCCAGCAGCCGCGGUAAUACAGAGGGUGCAAGCGUUAAUCGGAAUUACUGGGCGUAAAGCGCGCGUAGGUGGUUUGUUAAGUUGGAUGUGAAAGCCCCGGGCUCAACCUGGGAACUGCAUCCAAAACUGGCAAGCUAGAGUACGGUAGAGGGUGGUGGAAUUUCCUGUGUAGCGGUGAAAUGCGUAGAUAUAGGAAGGAACACCAGUGGCGAAGGCGACCACCUGGACUGAUACUGACACUGAGGUGCGAAAGCGUGGGGAGCAAACA
rnacentral:rRNA from 1 species